AUUGAACGCUGGCGGCAGGCCUAACACAUGCAAGUCGAACGGUAACAGGAAGCAGCUUGCUGUUUCGCUGACGAGUGGCGGACGGGUGAGUAAUGUCUGGGAAACUGCCUGAUGGAGGGGGAUAACUACUGGAAACGGUAGCUAAUACCGCAUAACGUCGCAAGACCAAAGAGGGGGACCUUCGGGCCUCUUGCCAUCGGAUGUGCCCAGACGGGAUUAGCUAGUAGGUGGGGUAACGGCUCACCUAGGCGACGAUCCCUAGCUGGUCUGAGAGGAUGACCAGGCACACUGGAACUGAGACACGGUCCAGACUCCUACGGGAGGCAGCAGAGGGGAAUAUUGCACAAUGGGCGCAAGCCUGAUGCAGCCAUGCCGCGUGUAUGAAGAAGGCCUUCGGGUUGUAAAGUACUUUCAGCGGGGAGGAAGGGAGUAAAGUUAAUACUUUUGCUCAUUGACGUUACCCGCAGAAGAAGCACCGGCUAACUCCGUGCCAGCCGCCGCGGUAA
rnacentral:rRNA from 1 species